rnacentral:rRNA from 1 species
CUAUACAUGCAGUCGAGCGAACAGACGAGGAGCUUGCUCCUUUGACGUUAGCGGCGGACGGGUGAGUAACACGUGGGUAACCUACCUAUAAGACUGGGAUAACUUCGGGAAACCGGAGCUAAUACCGGAUAAUAUUUCGAACCGCAUGGUUCGAUAGUGAAAGAUGGCUCUGCUAUCACUUAUAGAUGGACCUGCGCCGUAUUAGCUAGUUGGUAAGGUAACGGCUUACCAAGGCAACGAUACGUAGCCGACCUGAGAGGGUGAUCGGCCACACUGGAACUGAGACACGGUCCAGACUCCUACGGGAGGCAGCAGUAGGGAAUCUUCCGCAAUGGGCGAAAGCCUGACGGAGCAACGCCGCGUGAGUGAUGAAGGUCUUCGGAUCGUAAAACUCUGUUAUUAGGGAAGAACAAACGUGUAAGUAACUGUGCACGUCUUGACGGUACCUAAUCAGAAAGCCACGGCUAACUACGUGCCAGCAGCGGCCGGGUAAUAA